rnacentral:rRNA from 1 species
AUUGAACGCUGGCGGCAUGCCUUACACAUGCAAGUCGAACGGCAGCAUGAUCUAGCUUGCUAGAUUGAUGGCGAGUGGCGAACGGGUGAGUAAUACAUCGGAACGUGCCCUGUAGUGGGGGAUAACUAGUCGAAAGAUUAGCUAAUACCGCAUACGGCCUGAGGGUGAAAGUGGGGGACCGCAAGGCCUCAUGCUAUAGGAGCGGCCGAUGUCUGAUUAGCUAGUUGGUGAGGUAAAGGAUCACCAAGGCGACGAUCAGUAGCUGGUCUGAGAGGACGAUCAGCCACACUGGGACUGAGACACGGACCAGACUCCUACGGGAGGCAGCAGUGGGGAAUUUUGGACAAUGGGCGAAAGCCUUAUCCAGCGAUGCCGCGUGUGUGAAGAAGGCCUUCGGGUUGUAAAGCACUUUUGUCCGGAAAGAAAUGGCUCUGGUUAAUACCUGGGGUCGAUGACGGUACCGGAAGAAUAAGGACCGGCUAACUACGUG